rnacentral:misc_RNA from 1 species
GAUGAAGAACGUAGCGAAAUGCGAUAAGUAGUGUGAAUUGCAGAAUUCAGUGAAUCAUCGAAUCUUUGAACGCACAUUGCGCCCCUUGGUAUUCCAUGGGGCAUGCCUGUUCGAGCGUCAUUUGUACCUUCAAGCUUUGCUUGGUGUUGGGUGUUUGUCCCGAGGGACUCGCCUUAAAGUAAUUGGCAGCCAGUGUUUGGUUUUGAAGCGCAGCACAAGUCUCGAUUCAAGGCUACACGCCCGCUUCCACAAGCCUUUUUUCACUUUUGACCUCGGAUCAGGUAGGGAUACCCGCUGAACUUAAGCAUAUCAAUAAGCGGAGGA